rnacentral:rRNA from 1 species
GUGACCUCGGAUCAGGUAGGGA